rnacentral:rRNA from 1 species
ACGUAGCAAUACGUUAGCGGCGGACGGGUGAGUAACGCGUGAGCAACCUGCCUUUAUCAGGGGGAUAACACUUAGAAAUAGGUGCUAAUACCGCAUAAGACCACAGUCGGGCAUCCGACAGGGGUAAAAGCAUAUACGGAUAAAGAUGGGCUCGCGUCCCAUUAGCUAGUUGGUAGGGUAACGGCCUACCAAGGCGACGAUGGGUAGCCGACCUGAGAGGGUGAUCGGCCACAUUGGAACUGAGAAACGGUCCAAACUCCUACGGGAGGCAGCAGUGGGGAAUAUUGGGCAAUGGAGGAAACUCUGACCCAGCAACGCCGCGUGAAGGAUGAAGGUUUUCGGAUUGUAAACUUCUGUCGCGAGGGACGAAGAAUGACGGUACCUCGUAAGAAAGCCCCGGCAAACUACGUGCCAGCAGCCGCGGUAAUACGUAGGGGGCGAGCGUUGUCCGGAAUGACUGGGCGUAAAGGGAGUGUAGGCGGCGCGGCAAGUCUGAUGUGAAAGCCCGGGGCUCAACCCCGGGACUGCAUUGGAAACUGUCGCGCUCGAGUGUCGGAGAGGUAAGUGGAAUUCCUAGUGUAGCGGUGAAAUGCGUAGAUAUUAGGAGGAACACCAGUGGCGAAGGCGGCUUACUGGACGACAACUGACGCUGAGGCUCGAAAGCGUGGGGAGCAAACAGGAUUAGAUACCCUGGUAGUCCACGCUGUAAACGAUGGAUACU